rnacentral:rRNA from 1 species
UACGUAGGGGGCGAGCGUUAUCCGGAAUUACUGGGCGUAAAGCGCACGUAGGCGGCUUCUUAAGUCGGUGGUGAAAUCCUGGAGCUCAACUCCAGAACUGCCUUCGAUACUGGGAAGCUUGAGUUCGGGAGAGGUGAGUGGAACUGCGAGUGUAGAGGUGAAAUUCGUAGAUAUUCGCAAGAACACCAGUGGCGAAGGCGGCUCACUGGCCCGAUACUGACGCUGAAGAGCGAAAGCGUGGGGAGCGAACAGG